GAUCAUGGCUCAGAGUGAACGCUGGCGGCAGGCCUAUUAUAUGCAAGUCGAACGGCAGCACAGCAGAGCUUGCUCUGUGGGUGGCGAGUGGCGGACGGGUGAGGAAUACGUGGGAAUCUGCCCAGUCGUGGGGGAUAACGUAGGGAAACUUACGCUAAUACCGCAUGCGCCCUUCGGGGGAAAGCCGGGGACCUUCGGGGCCUGGCGCGAUUGGAUGAGCCCACGUCGGAUUAGCUAGUUGGCGGGUAAAGGCCCACCAAGGCGACGAUCCGUAGCUGGUCUGAGAGGAUGAUCAGCCACACUGGAACUGAGACACGGUCCAGACUCCUACGGGAGGCAGCAGUAGGGAAUAUUGGACAAUGGGCGCAAGCCUGAUCCAGCCAUGCCGCGUGAGUGAAGAAGGCGCUCGGGUUGUAAAGCUCUUUUGUCCGGAAAGAAAAGCGCCGGGUUAAUACCCUGGUGUCCUGACGGUACCGGAAGAAUAAGCACCGGCUAACUUCGUG
rnacentral:rRNA from 1 species